ACGUACUUAAAAUAUAAAAGGUUAAACUAACUAAGAAAGAAAACUCGAAAAUAAACUAUGCGUAUGACUACAGAGUCUCUAGGCAUCCCCUUCGUCGUCCUCCUGUGGAACGGGCUCGGGAACCAUGUCUUCCUGAUCUGAAAUGGUUAAUUAAGGAGUGAGCUACACUAGCCCAGUAAGAACAUCACGAUAUCUCACCGUCACGGAGAUAAAGGUGGGUAGAAAAACACAAAAAGACCAAUGGAGCAUAAUUUACAA
rnacentral:lncRNA from 1 species